CAUCCACUGACUCCGCAGUUGCUCACAACAACCAGAGCUGGACCAGGCUGAAGCCAGGAGCCUGGAACUCAAUUCAGGUCUCCCAUGUGAGGCAGGGACUCAGGCAUUUGAAUCAUCACUGCUGCCUUCCAAGGGUGUGCAUUAGCAGCAAGCUAGAUCAGAAGUAAAGAAGCUGGGACUUGAACCAGGCACUCUGCUAUGGGAUGCAGGUUUCCCAAGUAGCAUCUUAACCACUGGGCCAAACACUUGCCCCAUUUUUUAAAAAGAUACUUUAUUGGGAGUAUUGUUGACAUGCAAUACACUGCAUGUAAUUAAGGUGUAUGAUUAAAUUUUUAACUACGGGUCCUCUCUUGCAACCACCACCAUGUCCCUCACUUCCAGAAGCUUCCUCAUGGCCCUUUGUGUUCUCUUCCAUCUGCUUCCUCUUCCUCCAACCCAGUUCCCUGGAAACUACCAAUCUGCUCUCCUCUCCUGGAUUGCUCUGCGCUUUCAGGGGCUGCAUGCUGAUGGAAUCACACAAACCUGGGACUCAGCGGGAGCUAUAUAGCUCACAAGUGUCACACAGCUGUGAAGUGGUAGAGCUGGAAUUUUAUCCUGGUUCUGUGUGGUCACAGAGCCCAUCUCUCUCUUGGAUUACAACUCUGAUUCUUAGAACAGCCUUAGGGUGAACCCAGCUUGUGAAAGGAGGAAGCUUUUGCAGAGAGGUGGGCCCACUCUCAGUCACAGGCCACUCCUGACUAAGGACUCCCAAGGUGCAUCCAGGACACUGUCUCAGGCACAGUCCCCUUUGGUCUGAAACUUGCAUCAAGGAGACAUUCCCUGCCCCGCAGCAGGCCUCUUUAGGCCCUUGCGAUUACUUGAAAUGAGCCAACUAUGAGCAUCAAGAACGCGAAUGCUUUCAGGUCACACAUGGCAGCUCCUCUCCUGGUUCCACCUCCUCCAGCACAAAUCUCCAGCAGACCAACGAUGGAGGGACAGCUGCCCCUGUGGUUCAGCAGACUGCCCGCUGGACAGUUCCCAGGGUUCCUGGGGCCGUCAGAGGGGUCUGGCAAUCUCCAGCACCUAAGGGAGGGCCAGGACACAUCCUCCUCAAAAGAGGGGUAUUUGGGAAUUCAGCCCCUCUCCGCUGAAUUUCGUUCUUCUCUCCAGACGUGAGAUUCUAAAACUUCUCAGUCACGGGAGGAUCUAGGUGCUCCAGCACAUAGUCCGCAGCCCCUGA